AUCCCGGGGGCGCUUGGCUGGGCCGGCGCGAAGACUGUAUCCUGCCUUCUCAGUGCAAUGCCCGGCACCUAGGCCGAGUUCACGUGCGGGUUGUCGCGUUUCCAAUACCCCUGACGUUGUCUUCUCAGUGGUCGUUGGGUCUAGAAGUCACUCCUCUGGAGGUGAUAGACUAGGAGAAGCCGCCAGCCAGCAGCAUCACUGGCUGGCUGGGAGUUCCACCUCUUCCUUCCUUAAGACCUCAGUAAAUGGACAGCCACGGAUGGUAAGUAGUCCACCUUCUAAGGUUCUCCACUCUAAGCCCUUCGUAUCCCUCAGAAGUCCAGCAUAAGGAGCAUGGUUUAGUAUUUGAUCUUCUGGGAUGUUUCUCUCAUCGAGAAAGAAACUUGAGGGAGAAGGGGAAGGGAGGAUGCAUGUGGUACCCAGAAACGGUCCACUCGGUUAUCGUCCUGCCUUUACUGGCCUCGAGGCCAGACCUGGUCGUCAUUAGCUCCAGAAGCCUAUAAGGUUGAGAAGGCCCAACAGAAAUCUCUUGAUGGAAAUCUCUUGAUGGAAGUGGCCCAUCCAACACCGGGCUUGCGUGGGGCUGCCAGGCACAAGUGAGCAUCAUGAGCGGGUGGCCAGGCUCCCCGGUCAUCCGCCUGUCUUGCACCAGUGCCUCUCCCUCAUCUCCCACCUGUGGGCCACACAGAGGGGCAUCCCUGUGCCCAGCUGAUGGGAGGGGGAAAAGCCUGAGCUAAGGCUGUACAAAAACCAGCUUGGGACAUGGAAGAGCAUGGACCACUGUGAAUGGAGGUAUGAGGUGAGAGUGGACACAAGGCAUCUGUCCGGAUUGUGAUGAUGCCUCUGCCUGGCGGGGAGGGCUUGGAGUCGGGGAAUAGGGAGAGCUUUGGCCUGAAGGGCACCCUGGGGCUGGGGCAGACCCAGGUGGAGACAGGCCACAAGCAUCUUUUGAGGGCCCUCGUGGUGCAGGGCCCUGUGUUAGAGGCUCUGCUAGUCUUAUUUCACACAUCUUUGUGGACUCAGCUCUGCGAUCAUUAAUUAUGUGUGUAAUUCCUGCCUCAGCAUCUGUCUACUCUGGCAGGGAAUGAACUCCAAGGGCCCAGGGAGCUUGCCAGUCUUGUGCAUUGAUAUUCCCCCGGGCCUAGACUAGGGCCCAGAAUGUAGUUACACACAGCAAACACUCAUUGAUGGAAAGAAAAAGUGAUUUCAUUCAGCAGACAUGCUCCCAGGCCUGGGCUUUAUUUGAGGAGCUACUUGAAAGCAGUUUGGGGGAAGAUCAAGCAUUUGAUUGAGAGCCAGGGGUUUGGGAGAGAGAAUAAAGAUGAGGUCUGGGAGUUCCCGUUGUGGCUUAGCAGGUUAAGAACCCAAAAUAGUGUCUGUGAGGAUGCGGGUUCAAUCCGUGGUCUUGCUCAAUGGGUUAAGGCUUCAUCGUUGCUGCAGGCUGCAGCAUAGGUUGCAGAUGCUGCUCGGAUCUGGCGUUGCUGUGGUUGUUGUAUAGGCCAGCAGCUGCAUCCCUGAGUCAACCCCUAGCUCAGGAACUUUGAUAUGCUACACAUGUGGCUGUAAAAAGGAAAAAGAAAAAAAAGGUGGUUUCUGAUUAGGGACCUGGGAGUUUGCCCUGGAGAAGCUCUAAAAAUCCAGGCUGUGGACUGGGUUUUACCCUGAGCUUCAAAACCUAUUAGCAUUCACUGGCUGUGUGAUCUGGGCACAUUACUUAACCUCUCUGUGCCUCAGCUACUUCCUCUGUACGGCACUAGUGAUACCUAGUUUAGGCUGUUGAAAAGUUUAAAGGACUUAAUGAAACACCAAUGUACUGAAUUGAUAAACAACAAGUAGUAUUAUUGCACAAGUUCAGACCAGAAUGAUAUGAAAUAGAAGGAAGAGAUGCAGAUGAGGGGCUCUGUGAAAAAACAUGUGAAAACAAACAAACAAAAAAAACAUGUUGCAUUUGAGGCUGCUUGGAAAUAGGGUUCGAAGUGGAGGGUGUGAAGCACCAGUGGGCACCUGGUGCUUUCACUUGGCCUUGGUGGGAAGGACAGUCAGCUCUGGGCCGCAAUACCAGUGUCAGAGGCAGGCACAGAAGUCAGAGGACAUGCGGAAAAGAGGCCAGAAUCACCCAGGGAAUCUAGAACCAGCUCCUCAGUCGUGGAAUUUGACAUGUCACGUCCUAUACAACUAUGUGGGUUUUCAGCCUCUUUUCCCUAAAUGGGGAUUUUGUUGGCAAGGGAAUGCCUGCUAACCCCCUAAGAUUUUUGUUACAUUUUGGUUAAGAAGUCCAGAAGACUUUGGACUUGGCUUUGAAAAAUGGAAAGCGAAUUGAAUUUGCGUUACUUAAGUGGCUUAUUCAGAUGAACAGGAUCUCUUCGAUUUAGAAUUUCCAAGACUCAAGAUUUGAUAUUUCAGCAGCAACAAUGACAUCUAGGGGUUGGUUUUUACGGGUUUUAUCUUAGAUACGUGUCCUCUGUGUUUUGAAAAACGGGGGUGCUCACACAAUGAUUUGAUCUAAAAUGUCUGGACCCUGUGAAGUCGGUCGGUGGCUUAGGCAACACCGAUGGAUCAAAGAAAGGAAAAACCUAGAACAGACUUCUGGUGUCGUCUAAGAAAGUGACUUUCCUUCUAAAAUUGCAGGACCUCUCAGUUUGCUGAAUAUACUGGUUUUCCUCCUGACCUUUUAACCAGUGAUGUGACGUCCUUCUCAGCUCUCCUGUUUGAGCCUUGACCACUCUUCCUGUGGGUGAUAGCACCACCUUCCUUGCACGGAGAGGGGCUGGGACCACGGGUUAAGCUUCUUCCAGUUGAUUUCAUUCCUUAAAGAGCCAGUGGAGGGAGUCUUGGGAUUGUUCACCUCUUCUCUAUUGUAUGUUUUUACUAGAUUCUUCUAAAUGGACCCUUCUCUUGACUUUAUGGCUUUGACUGUCAGACUCAGAGGGUGCUUUUGGUUUGCUGUCAGAGAGUCAUGCAACUAACAGUGUUGAUUGAGUACCUUGCGGGUACAGUCUUUUGUGCGUGUGUGAUGGAGUUCAGGUAGGAGUGAGAGGGGCCCAAAAGGCAAUACACCUGGGUUGAGUCAACAAAAAAACAGUUUCUUUAGAGGACAUCAAACAUAUGUUUUUUUAAAAAUCACAUAAUUUUUUUCUUUUUGCUUUUUAGAGCCACACGUGGAAGUUCCCAGGCUGGGGGUUGAAUCAGAGCUGCACCUGCAAGGGAUCUGAACUGAGUCUGCAACCUACACCACAGCUCAUGGCAAUGCUGGAUCCUUAACUCACUGAGUGAGGCCAGGGAUCAAACCCACAUCCUCAUGGAUACUAGUCAGGUUCGUAACCUGCUGAACCACAACGGGAACUCCCGAAACAUACAUGUUAAUAGGAAAUAAAUUAUGCAUGGAAAUGUCUCCUGGAAAAAUUCACAAAUAUUCAGAUGAUGUUUAAGGUUCCUCUCAGCAUGAAAAUUCUGUGAUUUUUGUGCAGAUUAAAAUUAGUACCCUGUUAGACUGGUGCAUAAUAAGGUUGGUAGCAGCACAGGAAUUAUAGGUUUUUGUUUUUUUUUUUUUAAUGUUCAAAUGAAAGCAAUGCAAAAUAGGGCCCAUCUCCAUGGGUAAGUAUGAGUUGACCCUCAGUGUUAUCAAACUGAGAAGCUCCCUUCUGGUUUGCAGAACUGUGUGGAGUGAGCUCAGGGUGGGGAGAUGUGGCCCAAGGGUGCCACUCUGGAAACAUACACCCUGAUCGCUUAAUUUCCUGAUUAUCUUAAAAAGGGCCAGGAAGUCGUUUUGUUUCAACAUCUUGCUGUUGACCUUUCCUUCUUUGCUCUUAGCAUGUUUGUCCAGUUUCCUGCCACAGCAGAGUGUAUAGAACUGAUGUAUCACCAGUUUGUCAGUUUCACCUCCCAACUCGUCCUUGACUCUCCCUUCCUGAUGGUGCCUAAAAGUCUCCACCAGCUGCUUCUGCUGCUGCUUUUUCAAAAUCCAAACUUUGGUUUCCUUUUUUUCUUGGCAGUGGGGGCACCCCCAGGGCGGGGAUUGAACCCAUGCCCCAGCAGCGAUCCGAGGCACAGCAGUGACAAUGCCAGAUCCUUAACCUGCUGCACCACCAGGGAGCUCCUCCACCAGACCUUUAUCCAGUCUUUGGGGUCUUGCCUGAUGCCCCUGGCCACUGCCCAGCCUCAGCCCCAUCACUCCUGCCCAUUCUCAGGGGUGCUUUUUGGUUUUCCAGCCGCACCACGCUUGAUGUCCUCCUACCUCUUCCCGCUCCUCUUCAUGUGGUUAUCGCUUCCUCUUCCUCAGCUCUCAGCAAAGAGCCAUUUUCUCAGGGCGGCCUUCACUGACUUUCAUGACCAGGUUUAAUCCCUUUACCCUCUUUCAGAGCCGCGUUCUCUUAGCAUGCACUGGCUGACCGUCACAGCUCCGACCAUUGCCACGGUUUAUCUGUGCGGUUAUUGCAUUCACGUCCUUCACCCCCUCCCCCUGUAAACAGCAGAUUCUGCGAUGUCAGCCAGUGUGUUGUAUUAGCGCGGUGCCUGCCACUAGUAGAUGCCAAUGAAGAAACAAGGAAUGAAUGCCUGAAUAAUGAAUAUAGUAGCAUUUGUCUUAGGUGCUUGAGAUUCUUGGUGGUUUUUUUUUUUUGUUUUUUUUUUUUUUUUUUUGCGUUUUUAGGGCCACACUUGUGGCAUAUGGAAGUUCCCAGGUUAGGGGUUGAAUCCGAGCUACAGCUGCCAAACUGCACCACAGCUCAUAGCAACACCAGAUCCCCAACCCACCGAGGGAGGCCAGGGUUUGAACCUACAUCCUUCUGGGUCCUAGUCGGGUUUGUCAACUGCUGAGCCACGAAGGGAACUCUGAGAUUCUUAGUUUUUUAUUUAUUAUUAAAAAAAUUUUUUUAGUAUAGAUUUACAAUGUUCUGUCAAUUUCUGCUGUACAGCAAAGGGACCCAGUCAUACAUAUAUACCUUCUUUUUCUCUAUCCUCCAUCAUGUUCCAUCACAAGGAAUUGGAUAUAGUUCCCUGUGCUAUACAACAGGAUCUCAUUGUUUAUCUGCACCAAAUGCACUAGUUUGCAUCUACUAAGUCCAUCCCAGUCCAUCCCACUCCCUCCCCCAUCCCCUUGGAAACCACAAGUCUGUUCUCCAUGUCUCUGAGUUUUGUUUCUUCUCUAUAGAUAGGUUCAUUUGUACCAUAUAUUAGAUGCCAGAGAUUCUUGUAGUGCUUCAGAUUCAUCAACCCUGUAUCACAUCACUCCAAUUUAGUCCAUUCGGGCUGCCAUCACAGAAAACCAGCGACUGGGGACUGAUUUAAAAAAAAAAAAAAAAAAAAAAAAACAAAAAACUGGAGUUCCUGCUGUGGUGCAACAGGAUCAGUGACAUCUCUAGAGUGAUGUGACUCAGGUUCAGUCCCCAGCCCAGCACAGUGGCUCAAAGAUCUGGUGUGGCUGCAACUGCUGUGCAGGUCGAAACUGCAGCUGGGAUCUGAUCCCUGGCCUGGAAACCCCAUAUGCUGUGGAGCAGCCAAAAAAGAAAAAAAAAAUUUUUUUUUCUUACUGUUCUGGAGGCUGGGAGGUCCGAGAUCAAGAUGCCAGCAGCGUUGGUGUACCGUGAUGGCCUGCUUCCUGAUUCAUGGACCUCCAUUGUCUUGCUGUGUCCUCACAUGGCAGACAGGUUGAGGGAGCUCUCUGGGGUCUGUCUUAUAAGGCCAAUGAUUCCAUGCAUGAAGAUUCCACUCACAUGAUCUCAGUACCUCCCAGGAAUCCCACCUCCCCCAUUAAUCACACUGGGGAUAGGUUUCAAUAUAUGGAUGUUGGGGGAACACAGCAUUCAGCCUAUAGCACUCCGCUUGCUUGUGUGAAAUAGAGAACUGCUUGAUAGACGAGAUGGGUUAAAUAUGUGUGGGUUCUAAGACCCGCUGAGGAAAAUUUGAAUUAAAAGUACUCCACAUCACUGCGUCUCAGUGCUGAGUAUAGACAAUCCCAGAUGGAGUUCCCGUCAUGGCGCAGUGGUUAACGAAUCUGACUAGGAACCAUGAGGUUGCAGGUUCGAUCCCUGGCCUUGCUCAGUGGGUUAAGGACCUGGUGUUGCUGUGAGCUGUGGUGUCGGUCACAGACGUGGCUGGGAUCCUGCGUUGCUCUGGCUCAGGUGUAGGCCAGGGCUACAGCUCUGAUUGAACCCCUAGCCUGGGAACCUCCAUAUGCUGUGGGAGCGGCCCUAGAAAAGGCAAAAAGACAAAUAAAAAAAAAAA
rnacentral:lncRNA from 1 species